rnacentral:lncRNA from 1 species
CGAAUACAGGACUACAAUCCCCACGAGCCUUUGCUCCACUUCCCCAGAAUGCCUUGUAAUCUCACCUGGGCCGAGAUCGAGAAGAUAUUUAUGCAAAGGCUUUUGAAGGCUCUGGGGUCUUUUGGACUUCCGUUUUGGAGCAGAGGCGUCUCUUCCAUGAUAGGCAUUGUACAAUCAGAUGUUAAAAUAUUUCAUUUGUUGAAUAAAGUGGAGGGCAGUUUAAACGUUGCUUGCUAAUGGAGACAAAUGACAGCUUCAUUCCCAUUGCUAUUGGCUGGAGGUAAUUACCACUGUUGUCACUGCUUUGGCACAGAUCACUGCCUGCAGAAGAAUCUAAUCUCCACUGUAAAAACAUGGAUAUCAGACACAAAUUAUUGCUUUUUGGCUCUGCUUAGAAGUUAUUUAAGGGUUGUAGCCAUGCUUUGUGCUUUCGCUGACUCAAACAAAAUACGGAUUCUGCAGACAGAAGGGCCACUCCGAGGAAGAACAGUGUCACCAGGCGAGUUUCUGGCUGUGUAACUGAUAUGAAUGAUCCACCAAGCAAGCAGGAAUAUACCAUGCAAAAUGGAAAAAAAAGCCAAUGAAAAUACAUGGAGACACAAGAAAUAAUGUUAUAAGUUCAAGGAACAACAAUGAUGAUGGACACCCUGGCCCACAAGACUCCCAAGGAUGGCCUGAAACAGGUUGAAAUGUAAUUGAGGGAAAAAAAAAAUAAAAAGCAACAUUGCACUCA